rnacentral:rRNA from 1 species
CACACCGCCCGUCACACCAUGGAAGCCAGCUGUACCGGAAGUCGGUGCGCCAACCCGUAAGGGAGGUAGCCGCCUAUGGUAUGACUGGUGACUGGGGUG